UGGCUUAGUGGUAGAGUGCUUGCCUUGCAUGCAUGAGGCCCUGGGUUCAAUUCCUCAG
rfam:Dipodomys ordii contig_7267, whole genome shotgun sequence.